UAAGAGUUGAAUACCCCUGCUCUAGAAGACAAAUGGGCCACUCCAAGCCCCGCUGCGCUCACCAAAGCUCAGCCUUAACAACAUGGGAUCUGAGGACGAAGGAGAACGACUGCCCGCAGAACAAAGGUGGUGAGGGCGUUACUACUACGACCCGGGCCCGUUCUUCUUCCCAGACUGCUGCUGUGAGGCUACCCUGUAAACAAUGCCUCCAUCCCUUAAGAGAGGCUAUCGACAUGGCACGAUUCAUCCAACGGAGAGGGAGGGCUGUGCCGAUGACACACCGUCAGGUUCUUUACUCUGACCACCGCCGCCAUAAAUCCGCUGUGUUUUGUUGGCCUUUCCCUGUUACCUGCCAGUUUUCACCCAGUUAACAAUGUGAUGCUGACAGUCAACAUACUCAAAAUGUUCAAUUAUCUUCAGAAUCACUUUCGAUUGCUAAGUACCUUCACAGAGAAUUGUCCUUGUGUAAUUAUUCUUAUCACAAUGUUUUAAUAAUAAUGCCACUUGAAAGAUUACAUUAUUUUGUUAAAAUGUAGCUAUUCAGUGCUGAAUACAACCACUUGAUGUUUGCUAGUUAGUUUGACAGAAUGUAUUGUGUGCAGUAUAUUAGCCUGUUCUAACAAGCUCACCUUUUUUUCUGAAUAACUGUGAAUAUUUUUUUACAUAUGUAAAUAAAUUAGCCUCAUUUUCUUUGUGCACAGCCAUAUAAAUAUGGUCUAGUCAACACUUACCCUGGUAUUUAAAAAUAAAUAAAAAAUCUCCUUCAUUCUUAAAAAAAUUAAUUAGUUUAAUUAGUUACCUUUACUCCUGGAGAGUAAUCAACAACAACUAGCUAUAGAAGCAGUCAAAAUAGAGUAUAUUGAGGACACAGAUUCUGCCAGCCACCGACUGGUGAAAUCCAUGUCCCCUGUCAAUCAACAGUUUUUGCAAAAAAUAGUUAUACAAAUGGCAGCUUUUCAACAAGUUACUUUAAUUUUAGAGUAGUUUUAAAUUCAGUAUGGGGAGCAAGGUGAAGCUGCCAUUUGUGCCACCACCUCUCAAUGUGUCCUCAUUUCACCCUGAACUCUGUUGCUGGUACAUCAGGUAGGCCAUUAUCAAAUUGCACAUAAUAAUGCAAAUAACAAUUAAUAACUGUUAUGACAAACAGUUAUCAAACUUAAUGUUACAGUCUUGCAGAUAAUAAUGGGUAAUUAGCAUGCUCUUACACAGUGUUGCCGUCUCAAUUAUAAAGUUGUUUCCCCAAACAUUCAAAGCGAUUAAUUUUUAAUUUCCGCAGCAACAUAGUUACUAUUGAUGUGUAGUUACCAUGUUGCUACCCAGGUGAUCCCUCUGUUUCAAUGUUGUAUCAUGGUUGUUUCCUGGAAAUUACCUAGUUAUUUCCAUCCUGCAAAAUUAAGUGCUUCCCUUUUUAAUGUACCAACUAAGAUACUAUUUGUCCCGGUUUACUGCCAUCUGCUGGAUCAUAAAAAUACCGCUGUUGUAAUUUAUUAUCACUUGUUCUGGUACAACCAGGCAUAUCCAUCAAAGCAAUGUUCCCAAUGCAAAUUCAAGGUAUUUAAAUAAUUUGGACAUUUGUUUCAAAUUGAACGGUGUCGUUUUCAAUGCUAGAAACUUGCCAACACAGAUUGGGUGGUGUGUGUGGAUUCAGUGUAUUUGAAUCUAUCUGCACAUCCAGAUGCAUCAGUUAGAUAGAAAAAAAGCAGUUUAAAAACAUAAGCAUUUUAAAUAAUCAUCUAACUUUGUCAUUCGAUUUUUGUAUGCUUUGCUCUGCUACACUGGCCAAAAUGUUCCAUGAUCACAGCAAAGUUUGAUUCAUCCUAAUGAAAAAGGUAGGGGUUAUAUAGUCCAACCAUACUUUCAACAUGGUAUAAUUUAUUAUGUGCAGUUACACUUCGAAACAUCCCAUCUGUUAUCUUUUCCUAGAAAAAAAACACACAUUUAAAACAAAUGUAAACACUGACUUAAAAAAACAAUUGAAUUCAAAGACCAGUUGAAAGAGAGUUAGCAGAGUCUUCUUAUUAUGAAUGAGAAGAAGUAGUUGAUGCUUUUUGGCAACGUGGCAUGGGUGUUUGUGCCAACAGUACGGCACAUUUACUUAAUGUUUCCUUGGGAUAGAGAGAUUUCAAAUGUGGCCAAAGGGAACACAAUGUUCUAAUACAUGAUAUCAAAUAGCAAGACAUGGGGUUCAGAGGCAAAAUAUGGGAGUGUCUAGGAGUCUCAUGUUAUGCCAAACAACAAGACAGAAACUCAUAUUGAGCGGAUCAUACCAACUGGGGAAGUGAAGACAGUGCUUUCCUUGAUAGACAAAUGGAGGAGAGGAGGUUAUCCACUGAAGUACAGGCAUUCAGGCAUUUUCUGUCCAGAGAGGGAGACUGAUAAUUAUUUUUGAACAUUAAAAAAGGGUAAAACGGUUCGGAGUCAGAUUGUCUCAGCAUGGAGGGUUAGGCAGGUCUGCAGAUGUGUAGACGGACAGACAGCGGGCAAAGCUUAUUGCUCCGUGUCAGGGUUGUUGUGUAUUCUGGGACCAUGUGAGCUCCUGGGAAGGGCUGAGUGACUGAUACUGGGAAUGACAGUGUGUGGGGGGGGAGUCAGUAAAAUGUGACUGGCUCUGUAUUAUCACAUUCAACCGAUGCGGUUUUCCCAAGCCAACUUAGUAUUGAGUCCCUACCAACUGAGCUGUACGGGACCCCAUCAUCGAUCAUCAGCUCCCCUGAACGAUGGAAGGUGCAGUGGUGGUGUCCUCAUCUGUGCACCGUGAUCCGACGUUGCACGUUGUUAGUCAGAUUAAACGUCUGAGUUAUUUCCUGUUGAAACCAGCUUUGAGCUCAUCCACGGCAGCCAGAGGACACCACUGGUGACAAGAGACAACGAGGGGGAAAAAAAGUAAAUAUUGUCUAUGGUUUCGUUCAACCUUGUGGAUAGAAGUAUGGUUUUAUUGAUCAUCCUAUUGUUAUUUGAGCUCACUUGUGACCGCUACUAGUUUUGGAAUUAUGCAGUUUUAAUCUAUCGUCCUUUGAAAUGGAAAAAGGCUACAGAGCAUAUCUUGUGAAGAUGGGUAAAGUGCUGAGGCCCCCCUCCUCUUAAUAGUUCAUCUAAAAUGAAGCAUAGGAUAGCAUAUAAACUAUUGCCUAUGCUUUGAUCAUUAGGAGGACUACUGGGUCAAGGGAGACAAAUGCCUUGUUCAAAAGUACUCGAGAUUCCUUGGGGAAGCAUGAUCUUGGGACCAGCACUUUGCUGGAUUCAAUAGCAUUGGCAUUAAAACGUGGUCAGGAAAUUAACUGGCGGUGGAUUAUUAAAAAACAUCUAAAUUAGUCAAGUUAAAGUAAAGCAAUUAUGCACAUUUCGCGGGGGGGUGUUUAUUAUUCACUUCGAUGGUAAAAUGUUUGCACUGCCACCAUUUACCUUUAGUCAUGUCAAACCAUUGCUGAAUAGUGCUACAAAGAAUUGUUGGAUAUUAAAAUCCUUCAUCUUAACCUUGAAUGUAAGAAUGUAUACAAAGCCAACUCUGGACUGAAAUAAUCUUUUGUCACACCGCAGCCUUGGUUUUUAACAAAAAAGUGGGAGAUUUGACACUAGCAAUAGACUGUAUUGAAAUUUUAAAAAGUUACAUAAUUACUCCUGCCAGAAACCAUGAUUCAUCCACAGUGGACCACAAACCUAUAUAGACAGUUGAUAUAAAAAGUCUACACACUAAAUCAUGUCAGAACUUUUUUCACCUUUAAUGGGACCUAUAACAUAAACAAUUCAAUUGAAAAACAAAGUGAAAUCUUUGAGAGAGAAAAAUAACAAACAGAAUAACCUGGUUGCAUAAGUGUGCACACCCUUAAACUAAUACUUUGUUGAAGCACCUUUUGAUUUUAUUACAGCACUCAGUCUUUUUGGGUAGGAGUCUAUUAGCAUGGGCCAUCUUGACGUGGCAAUAUUUGCCCACUCUUCUUUGCAAAAGCACUCCAAAAUCUCCUGUGCACAGCCCUCUCCAGAUCACCCCCCAGAUGUUCAAUUGGAAUCAGGUCUGGGCUCUGGCUGGGCCAUUCCAAAGCGUUAAUCUUGUUCUGGUGAAGCCAUGCUUUUGUGGAUUUGGAUGUGUGCUUUGGGUCGUUGUCGUGCUGAACUUCUUUAUCUUCAGCUUUCUUAUGGAGACCUAAAGGUUUGUGCCAAAAUUGUCUGGUAUUUGUAACUGUUCAUAAUUCCCUUCACCCUGACUAAGGCCUCUGGGGGUAUGGUGUUCUCUGGGUGAUGUGCAGUUUUGUUUUUGUGCCAAACAUACCUUUUGGAAUUAUGGCCAAAAAGUUCAACCUUGGUUUCAUCAGACUAUAACAAAUUCUCGUGCUUUUGGGGGACAUGAUUUUAAAAUAAUUUAUUUAUUUAAAGUAUUUGAUCACCUAACAACCAGUAAGAAUUCCGGCUCUCACAGACCUGUUCGUUUUUCUUUAAGAAGCCCUCCUGUUCUCCACUCAUUAACAGUAUUAACUGCACCUGUUUGAACUUGUUACCUGUAUAAAAGACACCUGUCCACACAAUCAAACGUAUGAUCUCUGUAAUUGCAAACAAAGGUUUCUGUACCAAAUAUUAAGUUCUGCUUUUCUGAUGUAUCAAAUCCAUAUGUCAUGCAAUAAAAUGCAAAUUAAUUACUUAAAAAUCAUGCAAUGUCAUUUUCUGGAUUUUUUUU
rnacentral:lncRNA from 1 species